rnacentral:rRNA from 1 species
UGGGGAAUAUUGCACAAUGGGCGCAAGCCUGAUGCAGCAACGCCGCGUGAGGGAUGACGGCCUUCGGGUUGUAAACCUCUUUUAGCAGGGAAGAAGCGAAAGUGACGGUACCUGCAGAAAAAGCACCGGCUAACUACGUGCCAGCAGCCGCGGUAAUACGUAGGGUGCAAGCGUUGUCCGGAAUUAUUGGGCGUAAAGAGCUCGUAGGCGGUCUGUCGCGUCUGCUGUGAAAUCCCGAGGCUCAACCUCGGGCCUGCAGUGGGUACGGGCAGACUAGAGUGCGGUAGGGGAGAAUGGAACUCCUGGUGUAGCGGUGGAAUGCGCAGAUAUCAGGAAGAACACCGAUGGCGAAGGCAGUUCUCUGGGCCGUAACUGACGCUGAGGAGCGAAAGCGUGGGGAGCGAACAGGAUUAGAUACCCUGGUAGUCCACGCCGUAAACGUUGGGCGCUAGAUGUGGGGACCAUUCCACGGUUUCCGUGUCGCAGCUAACGCAUUAAGCGCCCCGCCUGGGGAGUACGGCCGCAAGGCUAAAACUCAAAGGAAUUGACGGGGUCAUAGCUGUUUCC